rnacentral:rRNA from 1 species
UGCGGGAAUAUUGCGCAAUGGGGGAAACCCUGACGCAGCGACGCCGUGUGAGGGAAGAAGGCUUUCGGGUCGUAAACCUCUGUUUGGAAGGAAGAACCUCCCGGGUCCGAACAGGGUUCGGGACUGACGGUACUUCCAAAGGAAGCACCGGCUAACUCCGUGCCAGCAGCCGCGGUAAUACGGAGGGUGCAAGCGUUAAUCGGAAUCACUGGGCGUAAAGCGCGCGUAGGCCGCUUCUUAAGUCGGACCGUGAAAGCGCCUCGCCUCAACCCGGGGAAUUGCGUUCGAUACUGGAGGCUUGAGUCCUGGAGAGGGUGACGGAAUUCCGGGUGUAGGAGUGAAAUCCGUAGAUAUCCGGAGGAACACCGGUGGCGAAGGCGUCCACCUGGACAGGUACUGACGCUGAGGCGCGAAAGCGUGGGGAGCAGACAGGAUUAGAUACCCCUGGUCGUCCACGCCGUAAACGAUGGAUGCUAGGUGUCGGGGAGCGAUCUUCGGUGCCGCAGUUAACGCAUUAAGCAUCCCGCCUGGGGA